UUAUUGAUUCUUUGCUCUUUUGUCCCUUGUCAUUGCACCAUCCUCAUUUUACAGAAAUCAAAGCACAGAGGGGUUAAGUAACUUGCCCAAAGUCACACAGAGGGUAAGUAACAGAGUUGAUAUUUUACCCCAAGUAAUCUGAUUCCAGAGAUUAUACUUUACCUCCAGUUACAACUCCAACAGUUUUCAUAAUAUUUUGAGAACUCUGAGAAUUAUUUUCAGAAUGUUAUAUAUAUAUAUAUAUAUAUAUAUCAGUAUAUCAGACUAUGUAUAUAAUGGAACCACUACGCCUAGUAAAUUUUUUUUUUUUUUUAGAGUCCCAAGAGACAUAAGAGAGAAACUAUUGGUUAUUGGACAUUCACCAAGUGUCAGUCAUAGUUCUAAGUGCUUGUACAUGAAUCAGCUCAGUAAUCUUAAAACCAAAACCAGAACCAAACAAACCGCUGCCCGCCCCCUGGAGAGGGUGCAGUGAUUCUCACUUAUCGGAUGAGACAAAGGAAGGCCAGAGAGCUUCCAUAACUUGCUUGAGAUCCUAUAGCUAGAUGGCAAAUCCAGGGCUCAGAGCCAGCCCAUCUGGCCCGUGAGCAGCAUUCUUCGCUACCAAGCACACCCCACUGCCAGUCCUUAACCCAGAUAUUUAUUCAGUCCUCACAGCACAUGAGUCAUUUCCUAACCACUUGCUUUUCUUGUGUUAGCUGGGGAAACUGAUGCUGACAAACUUUAAAUAUUAGGUUGGUGCAAAAGUAAUUGUGGCUUGCCAUUUUAAUGGCAAAAACCGAAUAAUUUGCUUAGUGCCAUUCAAUGAUUUGGGGGCUGGCUAGCCAGGGAGCCAAAGCGUGUUACAUCUGUUUUCACUUCCCCAGUCGUUAGUGGUGCAGUCUAAGGCUCGCCCUCUGCCACAGAUCCUCCUCUCCCUCCUCGCGACAGCUCCUCCUCCUCCUCUACCUCCUCCUCCACCUUCUCUCCCUCCUCCUCCUCUCCCUCCUCCUUCUCCCCGGCCCCUCCACCCCCGCCCCGGGGCCCUACCCUGCGGGUCUCACCUGCCGCUCGGCGGGGUCCCGGCGGGGGCCGGACAGCGCCCUCUGGCGGCAGGUGGGCGCCGGCGCAGCGCAUGCUAAUAAGCCCGCGGCGCCGCUCGCGGAUUGGCUGGCGCGGAUUCCAGCUGCUUUCCAAGUUGGAGGCGCCUAGUUGGGGUCGGGGGUCCCGGCCCACGCCCUCCCUGCCCAGCCGCCUCCCCGUCGACCACCCAGGGCUGGAGCGAGCCAGGCUGCCUUUCGAACUUGGGGGGCUUCUCCUCUUGUCUCCCACUGGUGCUUUGGCUGUGAAUCCAUCCAGGGGCCGGAAUGAAAAUCCGAUACCAAGGCCUGCAGUACAGGCCGAGGAUGGCUUUUCUCCAAAAGGUUUGCAAGCUGCGUCCUGGGCCUGGAGACCAAGACAGAGAUCCACGGACUGCAGUGCAGGCGGCCCGCCCCAGCUCUGAGUCACAUAAGUGAAGCGGUGCGAUCUCGGCUCACUGCAACCUCCGCCCCUGGGUUCAAGCGAUUCUCCUGCCUCAGCCUCCUGAGUAGCUGAGAUUACAGGUUGAACCAUCAGUAUAAAACAUGCAGAACCAAAGAUAGUGACCAAAAUCCAAAGCCAGAGGGUCCCGGAAAUCAGAAGGUCUUACAGCAUAACAGGUAGUGCAGGCCGUGGCUCAGGCUAGGCAUGGAAGAGACUGCAGUUCUCUCCUACAAAUCAAUCUAGACUGGACGGACAGAACUCCAAAGGAGGAAAGAAAACUGAAUCUGAUGUUACUUCUUGAAACCACAUUUUCUGAAGUCACCAUUUUUAUGUAUCUAUCAACUCAUCAUUUUUAUGUAUAUAUCAAUAUGAUUUUAUGAUCUUAUUUUUUCCUACUAAUGUGAUGAAUUCCCUUGAUUGAUUUUAGAAUAUUAAACACUUUUGUAUUCCUGGAAUAAA